GGCUCAGGACGAACGCUGGCGGCGUGCCUAAUACAUGCAAGUAGAACGAUGAGGACUGGUGCUUGCACUGGUCUAAGGAGUUGCGAACGGGUGAGUAACGCGUAGGUAACCUACCUCAUAGCGGGGGAUAACUAUUGGAAACGAUAGCUAAUACCGCAUGACAAUAGGGUACACAUGUACCCUAUUUAAAAGGGGCAAAUGCUUCACUAUGAGAUGGACCUGCGUUGUAUUAGCUAGUUGGUAAGGUAACGGCUUACCAAGGCGACGAUACAUAGCCGACCUGAGAGGGUGAUCGGCCACACUGGGACUGAGACACGGCCCAGACUCCUACGGGAGGCAGCAGUAGGGAAUCUUCGGCAAUGGGGGGAACCCUGACCGAGCAACGCCGCGUGAGUGAAGAAGGUUUUCGGAUCGUAAAGCUCUGUU
rnacentral:rRNA from 1 species